rnacentral:rRNA from 1 species
UGAGGAAUUAUGCGCAAUGGACGAAAGUCUGACGCUGCGACGUCGCGUGGGUGAUGAAGGUCUUCGGAUCGUAAAACCCUGUCGAGAGGGAAGAAAGAGCGGGCGCUAAUAUCGCCUACUUCUGACGGUACCUCUGGAGGAAGCCCCGGCUAACUCUGUGCCAGCAGCCGCGGUAAUACAGAGGGGGCAAGCGUUGUUCGGAAUUACUGGGCGUAAAGCGCGCGUAGGCGGUUUGUUAAGUCGGAUGUGAAAUCCCCGGGCUCAACCUGGGAAUUGCAUUCGAUACUGGCAAGCUAGAGUAUGGGAGAGGAAGGUAGAAUUCCAGGUGUAGCGGUGAAAUGCGUAGAGAUCUGGAGGAAUACCGAUGGCGAAGGCAGCCCCCUGGGCUAACACUGACGCUCAUGCACGAAAGCGUGGGGAGCAAACAGGAUUAGAUACCCUAGUAGUCCCUGAGCGGGCUGGCAAGGCGCAU